UGGGGAAUAUUGGACAAUGGGCGAAAGCCUGAUCCAGCAAUGCCGCGUGUGUGAAGAAGGCCUUCGGGUUGUAAAGCACUUUAAGUUGGGAAGAAAAAAUUCCACCUAAUACGUGGAGUCUUGACGGUACCGACAGAAUAAGCACCGGCUAACUCUGUGCCAGCAGCCGCGGUAAUACAGAGGGUGCAAGCGUUAAUCGGAUUUACUGGGCGUAAAGCGUGCGUAGGCGGUUCGUUAAGUCGGUUGUGAAAGCCCUGGGCUCAACCUGGGAAUUGCAGUCGAUACUGAUGGACUAGAGAACGGUAGAGGGAGGCGGAACUCCAGGUGUAGCGGUGAAAUGCGUAGAUAUCUGGAAGAACACCGAUGGCGAAGGCAACCUCCUGGGCCUGUUCUGACGCUGAGGCACGAAAGCGUGGGUAGCAAACAGGAUUAGAUACCCCCGUAGUCC
rnacentral:rRNA from 1 species